CGACGCGUGGGAAUCUGCCCUCUGGUACGGAAUAACUCAGGGAAACUUGAGCUAAUACCGUAUAAUGACUUCGGUCCAAAGAUUUAUCGCCUGAGGAUGAGCCCGCGUAGGAUUAGCUUGUUGGUGAGGUAAAAGCUCACCAAGGCGACGAUCCUUAGCUGGUCUGAGAGGAUGAUCAGCCACACUGGGACUGAGACACGGCCCAG
rnacentral:rRNA from 1 species